CUAUAGUGCUUUCCCUAAGGGUUCCACCAAUCUGCAGUUCCACCAGCCAUGCAGGAGUGUACCUUUGACCCCACAUUCUCACCCCAAUCCAGAGUUCACUUCUAAGUCAAUAAAUCAUUGCUAUAUAAAUAUGUCAAUAAAAUGGUAUUAUUGUUUUGGGUUUUCCAAUCAGAAUUGCAUCCUUGCAUUCUUGGGGUGGGGCCAGGUCUCAAGCCCUGCCCUGCACACUCCCAGAGGUCCUGUGCCGCUGGCUGCCCAGUGGCGGGUCAAGGAAGGCUCUCCCAAGCUGAGGACAUGGUGACGAUGGCAGCGGCAGCAAGGUUGGCGGUCCAGACUUGUGGGAGCCCAGAGCCCAAGGGCUGCUUGUUCUCCAGGCCUAAUCCUGUCCGGCGAUGUGAAGCCACCUUCAAGGACUUGGCGAGGUGGAGAGAGAGGCAGCAGCUGCCGGGAUGCUCAGCCAGAUGGAGCCUGAGGAGCCCAAGGAGCUGGGCCCUGCUCGACCCGCCUGGGUUCACAACCACAGGCAAAGGCCAGAUGGACUGUUCCUGGAAGGUGAGGACAACCAGGUCCAGAGUGCUUAUUCUUGAUGUGGCCAAAAAGAGAAAGUCCUGAGGGAUGUGGCAUGUUUGCCUGUGGAAAGAGCUCACUACCGCUUGGAAGAUGUUCUGCCCCUGUGGAGAAGACCUGGGUCUAUCACAGAGAAAUGACCUGCUCUACCAGGACACACGACAGUCAGGAGGAGGAGAAGCUCAUUGCAAGACUGCUGAUGGCUUCCUUCCAGGACCUAAGCAAGUAACCUAUUUCCAGUCUGGCCCAUGGUCUAAUUGACAAGAACUUCAGAGGACAGUUGGGAGCUUUCUGGAAAAUGGUGGAUCCCAAUGAGCAGUGGAACUCGAGGUACCAGGGAGGGCCAGCUGACACCACAGCGAGGAUGACACUGACCGCAGCAGCAAUCAGGCCUGGGGCGGGGCCCUCGCGAGUGUGAGUAGCCACCGUCUUAAGGGCCCAAGAUCUGCCUGGCCCUCCACCAGAGGCCGCCCAGC